rnacentral:rRNA from 1 species
CCUACGGGUGGCAGCAGUGGGGAAUAUUGCACAAUGGGGGAAACCCUGAUGCAGCGACGCCGCGUGAGCGAAGAAGUAUUUCGGUAUGUAAAGCUCUAUCAGCAGGGAAGAAAAUGACGGUACCUGACUAAGAAGCCCCGGCAAAAUACGUGCCAGCAGCCGCGGUAAUACGUGUGGGGCAAGCGUUAUCCGGAUUUAUUGGGUUUAAGGGGUGCGCAGGCGGCGAGUUAAGUCAGCGGUAAAAUUGCGGGGUUCAACCCCGACGAGCCGUUGAAACUGGCUUGCUAGAGUGGGCGAGAAGUAAGCGGAAUGCGAGGUGUAGCGGUGAAAUGCAUAGAUAUCACGCAGAACUCCGAUUGCGAAGGCAGCAUACCGGCGCCCAACUGACGCUGAGGCACGAAAGCGUGGGUAUCGAACAGGAUUAGAUACCCCUGUAGUC